rnacentral:lncRNA from 1 species
GAUACUAACCCUAAUAUACCAGUAAUUACAAUGAAAACAGCACUGGAGCCACACCGUCAACUGUUACAUAGUAAAAUCUCUCCCUGCUGCCCUCAUUUAGUCUUAUUUCCAUGUACUUAAUGCUCAUAACCAGUGUUUAGGUCAGUGUCAGCUUGGGAACCAUACUCCCUGGGCUUCUGUAUGUUGAAUUCAGCUUGUGUCCUUUAUACUUGAAGUUUUGCAGAAUAUGAAAUGCUUGCCUACGUUUUUUUUCCUUGGGUGUCUUAAAUAUUCUGUUUUCUUCCAGCAUAAAGUGAUGCAUGAAGAGCCUGAUGCAUCUUAUUUUCUUUGCACGUCAUGCACUCUUUGUGCUUAGAUGUCCAAAGGGCUUUUUCCUCUUUCUCAAGUCAGCAGUUUUAUUAGAAUGUAUGUGUUGGUGACCCUGGGUCAGUGUUUGCAGGUAUGUGGUGUGCUUUUUCUGUGUGUAUUUUCAAAUCUACUGUUUCAAGAAAGUUUCCUUGAAUUGUGGCCUAGUGCUCUGUUUUAUUUUUUGCUUUGGUUUUCUUUUUGGGGGGACCCCUGUUAUCUGUUGAAAUCUGAUUUACCCAUCUUCAGUAUUUGCCAGUUUAUCUUGAAUCUUUUAUCUGUCUUAGAUUGCUUCCAUGUCUUGGCUGCUGUAAAUAAUGCUGCUAUGAACAUAGGGGUACACAUAUCUCUAGAGGUCUGUUUUCAAAGAGGGCAGUUAAAGGGAAGGGGUGUGCUGAGCUAUGGAUUCCCCCUGGCAGAAUCCCUGGGUCCAGGAGGGUCCUUGCUCAGCUGAGGCUUUUGAAUCCCACCCUCUGUCCUCUCAGCCCACGUCCUCUAUAGCCAAACAUGGACCUUCUCCAACACCACGGUGUCCUCUGUACCGGGAGUCUGUAUGAUGAACAGGGUGCCCCAUUCAGGUAUGCGACAUGCUUCAACCUAACACUUUAGAACCCGGGGGCCAACUGAAUGUUAGUGUCCCCAGAUUCCUGUGUUGAAGACCUGACCCCCAGUAGGGCCCUAUUUCGAGAUGGGGGUGUUUGUCUCUUUCUGUUAUGAGUGCUUGUCUUAUGUUUUGUUCUUGUGUGUUUAUUAAAGUCUGAUGGGC